GACAGCAUGGCUUAGUGGUCGAGUGUUGAACUACAAAAUUGGAGAUCAGGGUUCGAUUUCCCUUUUGGCCA